rnacentral:tRNA from 1 species
GUGAAAUUAGUUUAAAUAAAAUGGUAAAUUGUGGUUUUACAGAUAAUUAUUAAGAUUAUUUUACU